GACGAACGCUGGCGGCGUGCUUAACACAUGCAAGUCGAACGGAAAGGCCCUUCGGGGUACUCGAGUGGCGAACGGGUGAGUAACACGUGGGUGAUCUGCCCUGCACUUUGGGAUAAGCCUGGGAAACUGGGUCUAAUACCGAAUAGGACCACGCGCUUCAUGGUGUGUGGUGGAAAGCUUUUGCGGUGUGGGAUGGGCCCGCGGCCUAUCAGCUUGUUGGUGGGGGAAUGGCCUACCAAGGCGACGACGGGUAGCCGGCCUGAGAGGGUGACCGGCCACACUGGGACUGAGAUACGGCCCAGACUCCUACGGGAGGCAGCAGUGGGGAAUAUUGCCCAAUGGGCGCAAGCCUGAUGCAGCGACGCCGCGUGAGGGAUGACGGCCUUCGGGUUGUAAACCUCUUUCAAUAGGGACGAAGCGCAAGUGGCGGUACCUAUAGAAGAAGCACCGGCCAACUACGUG
rnacentral:rRNA from 1 species